UGCUAAAUUUCAACAUAAUGAGAGAGCCACAGAGAGAUUGAAUGGCCGAGAGGGAAAAUGGAAAAAAAAAUGGAAAAAUAGGAAAUGAUCAGUUUUUCGAGGUUUUGAUGUUCGGGGACUUCACGGUUAAAAAUGGCGGUGGAUCAUGGCCUUUUAUCGGGAAUUUUACUCGGCCAAUCGAAUUUGUAAUUAUCUGAAUAUUCAUAAUUUGUAUGAAAAUUCAUGUGUAAUUAUCGAUUUU